GGUUUUUUCGUCUGCCCUCCCCCUCGCACGCAAAAAAACGCACCCAGCACCGAAACAAAGAAAAACCUACGACUCCGCUCCUCUCGAUCCCCUCGAUCUUCCUGACGCAGCCGUGCCACUGCGAGAUUGCAAAUCAGUCUGGAGAGGACCUUGCGUGAGCUCGCUCCCAUGUCGCUCUCCUCCUAGGGCGACACCGGGGCGCCCCCCAACCCUAGCCGCCACAGACCCCCACCACAACCAAGCCGCCGUCGCCGGCAGCUGUCGCCGGCGGCGGCGAAGGCGGCUCCUCAAAGCAGGGACGCGUCUCCCGUCGAAAUCCAAGUCCAUUCGCGCGAGCUUCUCCGCCCCUCGAUCCAAUCUUCACCUUCGCUCAUGGUGGCCGUCAGCUGGCUUCCCACCGGCUGCCAGCUUGAUCUGCGCGGCACUCGGCUGCUCGCGUGGCCCACCUCCUCCCCAUCGUGGCACUCUGCGCGGCACUCGAUGGCCGCCGUUGGGCCUGCUUGCGGCGCACAGAUCAUAUCGCGUGCGAUGGCUACAUCAUCGCCGGACCUGUCCUUUCGUCCGACCGCGACCCAACCCCAGCGCCCUCCUCCACCGCCCGCUUCCCCCACUCCCGCUUGACUCCACGGGGGGCGCCGAUGGCGAUGCUCUGCCCGGAGUUCCGCGGAUCUGCGUAUGCCAGCCGCGUUUGGCCCUCCGUCCGCUGUGCUCUGCCGGCCCUGGCCCACGCCGUGGUUGCCCUUGGCUCGUCACCAGGCUCCUGUGUGGCUUGCUCUCGCACGUCCAGAUGCACCAUCGUCGGGUUCCCUGUUGCCCCUCAGAUAUGAUAAAUGCAUCCACCCAUCGCAUCCAUUGGCUUGGGUACCUGAUGGAUUUGGUGUGGUGUCUGACCUUCUGCUGCUCUGUCUCCGAGAGAGAUCCCUUCGCUAGCUCCUUGCUAGCGGCAGCAACGGCGACGCUUUUGGCGCCGCUUCCCUUCUUGGAGGCGCUGCUGUGGAGCCCCAGUGCAGCAGUGGAUUUGGCCGAAAGCCCUACGAUGAUGGCGCCCGUGGGUGUCAUUCAACCUUCCUGAAGGCGUCGCCGCCACCUGCGCUAAACCCCAGGGCAGGGCAGUUUCAACCCAAGGCAGGCUGCGACGAGCGGCGCAAGAAGACCAUGCCAGCGGUACACAGAGAUGUUGGUUCCGUUGUUUGCACAUGUAUCCUGAUGCCCGCUUUCUCGCCGUGGCUGUCAAGUACCACCUCGUGAAGGAGUGGAGAAGACAACGUCCUCUGGUCCUCCUCCAGGCCGGCCGACAACUUGUCAGUUUGUUGCUCUUCCCUUACAAGGUACGGCAUCCCCUUCCUGUGUGCUCAUGCAAACAUACAGUUCUUGAUGUGGUUGAUGAAAGUAGUCUAAGAUUUGGCUAUUUCUCUUUGAAAAUUGAUUAUAUUAGUUCAAUUACGUAAAUAUCUUCCUUGACAAGGUCAGAUUACUUUCCCCACUCUGUGAUUUGGAUUGAUUUCUUGAAUUUAUCCAAACACCUUUGCUUGUGCUCCUAAUUUCCCAUCACUCUUUUUGUCACGCCAUGGUCUAAACAAUGGUGCCUUCACCCUUGCUUGUGCCUCAACCCACAUGGUCAUCUUUGAGACGUGGUAUUCAGUCACAUGACAGAGUUCUCUUUCUUUGGACAAAAACAUUUAUGCUCAACACAGCUGGUUCCCCCAAGUUCAGCAGUGACCGUAUGAUACACAGUACGCAAAAGAUAUAUGGGAUAUCAUCCCCGUCAUCAUGCUCUGAAUAAUUUAACAGUUUACAGAAACCUUGAGUCUGUGAGGCGCAAUCGGUCACAGAUUUGCCUCUACUCUUCAUUGGGAAGGUGUUGCUGCCCCCAGCUUUGUAUAGGAACAUGCAAGUUCUGACAUGGACAUGAGAGCUGAGAGCAUGCAGGGUGAUACGUAUGAAGGAAAAGAGCCAGAGCAGCGCUUGGAUAAAAGUCAGUGUUGGAAUUUGUUUGGCAGAUGCGGAAAUCUUGGUAAAGGUAAGUUCAGUCUUUCACUCGCUCACCAUGUUUUUUUGGUCUGCAUUAUUUUUCUAAUCUACAUUUCAGGAGUGGCUAUAGUCAAUGCUUUCAUGUACAUGAUCGGUAUGAACUUCUCAUCAUAGCUUGGACAUAUCUCUUUUCACACGCGAUCUUAUUUACUUGAAAGAUAAGUUAUACACUCUGGGUAAUAAUUUGAUGAGUAGGCCAUUUCAAUAAUUCUAUUUGUUUCAGGCAUUGGUAGAUUGUGGUACAACUGAAGAGUUUCUUAUGCUAAUACUUGCAGAUCUCGACACACCCGGAACAAUGAGCACAUGUUACCAGCCACAUUCCACACAGGAUGUGUUCUUUUCAAAACAAAGAUACCCUGAUGCAUGACAAAGUUGUAGCGUUAAUCUCAAAAAAUUAUGCUUCUGUAGUAUGCAAUAUACACUAUAAACCUAAGAGUGGGUAGCUUCAGCUUGCUUCUGUAUUAUGCUUUCUCAUUGAUAACCUAGCCCAUGCUUGAUUAUAGUACACAUUAUUCCUGUUGAAAGCUACUCUCUCUGUCCCAAAAUUCUUGUCUUAGAUUUGUCUAAAUACGGAUGUAUCAAGUCACAUUUUAGGUUCAUCUGUAUCUAGAAAAAUCUAAGACAAGAAUUUUGGGACGGAGGGAGUAUAUUAAAUCCUAACUUUUGACUCUUCUGAUAAUGAAGUGAAGGUGCAGAACCGCAUCUUCCAUUGACUCAAAAAAUACAUUUAAAUAUUAUGAUUUUUAUAAUGUUCUGAAUGUAUUUUUCUCAGGAUAAGGACGCACACGGCGGCGAGGUUAGUAGGGGCGUAACAAACAAGAAGGGCGGGCGUGGCAAUGGCCAUUCAUGUGUCAGAUGAAAAUAGUACACCCACAUGUGUGUCUGGACUUGACAUAUGCAUCAGCGAGCAUGGUGAUGAGGUGAGAGUUGGAAGCGUGGAUGUACUUGACAAGGACCAAGUAGAUGCGAGCAAGCAUGGUGGGCAAUGUCGACGAUGGUCACGUCGAUGAGAAGACCGAAGAGGAAGGCUUAAAUGUAAUUAGCCAGUGUCUUUGGACAGGUUGUCGACAGAUAAAAGUUCUAUAGUUUGGCUUGAGGAGUAACAUAGACAGGCAUGCUGGUGCUAUAAGGCUAUAUCUCUCUUCGUGGACAAGAGCACACAAUGCUUCAAGUUUCAUGGAAGUUUUUUAAAUUCUAUUAUGAGGCUCAAUCUGAAAUAAAAUCGGGUCUUGCUUUACCCAA